rnacentral:sRNA from 1 species
ACUACAGGUGCACGCCACCACGCCCAGCUAAUUUUUUUUUUGUAUUUUAGUAGAGACGGGGUUUCACCUUGUUUCCCAGGCUGGUCUCUAACUCUUGAGCUCAGGCAAUCCACCUGACUCGGCCUCCCAAAGUACUAGGAUUACAGGCAUGAGCCACCGCGCCCGGCCUAUUGGUUGGUUUUGUUAUAUGUAAAGUUGACUGCUUUUGUGUAGGUUAAGGGGUAGGAGGAAAAUGAAAUUGAUUAUGUCUGUUGAUGCCUUUGAUAUGUAGCUGUAUUAAUAAAAGCAAGCUAAUGAUAAUGUGUCUGGGGAUUUGAGGAGCAUGUACCCAUUGAAACUAUUGAUUCUUAAAUAUUGUGUUUUAUGUAUACAUGUAGUUUAUGUGUUCUUUUGUUCUUUACGUUAGUAUGUCUGCUUAACCAGUUGUCUACUUAAAUUGCUAUUAAACCCAGGAAAUUUUUUUUCUAUAGAAAGUGAGAAGAAUGCAACACAACUAAAAGUAAAUAUUUGUCAGUCAGUAGUUGUCCUUGAGGUAACUUAUUGCCACAGGGCAUCCUUUCGUUUGUCCUUGAAGAGAGAGGAAAGACUGCAUAGUUUCCCCACAUCCAGAGAUUUGCCAGACUCUCUUGUAUUUAAGCUGUGGCAGUCUGUUGUGGAUUGAGACCUUGAUCUUGGCAAUGGGCUUCUUCCUCCCAAACAUCCCCAUGUCUCAGUGGUCAUCUGCACGUGUGCUUUCAGCCAUUGUCUGCUCCAUUAUUGGACGUCAGCCAACCAGAGUAAAUCUCUCUUGGUGGUUUCAAGCCCCGCUGACUGUUCACAAGUUGGAUCAGCAGGAGAUAUCAGUAGCUUGACAAUCCAGCCUUUUGAGCAGUGUGUUCUCAGAGGCAACGGUCUGGUCCUUUGAUUUCUGGGCUUUGCUUCUGAAUGUGAAUUGUCCCAAGUUGGCAAAGAAACUAGCAGCUGCUAGAGUGCUGGGCUUGGAACCAGGUAAGAUGGAUUUUAAUUGCUUAUUUCCCAUUUCUCUGGCACCAGUUGAUCGUGGAACAGCAGGAUGAGCAGUUGGAGCUGGUCUCUGGCAGCAUCGGGGUGCUGAAGAACAUGUCCCAGCGCAUCGGAGGGGAGCUGGAGGAACAGGCAGUUAUGUUGGAAGAUUUCUCUCACGAAUUGGAGAGCACUCAGUCCCGGCUGGACAAUGUGAUGAAGAAACUUGCAAAAGUAUCUCAUAUGACCAGUGAUCGGCGCCAAUGGUGUGCCAUAGCCAUCCUCUUUGCAGUCCUGUUGGUUGUGCUCAUCCUCUUCUUAGUGCUGUGACGGCGGGGCCUCUGGGUGCGAGUUCCUCCUGCAUAUGAACCGAGGGGAGGAGGAGAAGCUGAGCACGUGUGACAUUGCCGUCUACUCACAUUCCUAUCCUGGAAACAUACUGCUGCACUGACUUUUCUCCGUGUGACCCCACAAUUGACAUGGCUCCUCCAUCCCAGCGCUGGAAGGGCCAGUGGGAAGAGGAAAUAGAUGUCUGCACUCCUGGCUGCAGCUGGACAACAGAAGCCCCAUGCCGCCUGUCCAGUUCGGAGGAGAACUAGCUGCUGCCUUGCCUUCCGGGACCUCGUUUGCUGAGGAGGGACUUACAGACUCCACUGGUGUUUUGCUGUUGCUCAUUCCAUGCAUCUUUGGCAGCUCUUUUCUUCUGCUCAGACCCUUCCCCGUGCUCAGACAGUGCACCGCUGUCCCAUCUAAAGAAACCUGUCAGGAAUACGAGCUUUUGGGUAUGUUUCGUUUCCCAUUGCUGUAGCAUUUCUUAUCCCUUGAGAGCUGAUGAUUAUUGAGGACAGAAGGCUCAGAAACAGUUUGUGACAGAAAAUGCAGUGUUUCAUUUUUCAGGGAUAAAUGCUAAGAUAAAAUUGCUUUUCCAGGUCGUUUUUUUUUUGUGGUAAGAAUAACUAAUGGAAAAUAAUGAAACACCCUGGGGUUUGGGGAUGCUAACAACUUGUGGCUUUAACUGACAGGAGCAAUUAAAAAGAGCAAGAGGGUUCUGCAUUGGCAUAGCUUAGGGAAGGGUUAAUGAUGUCGCCACAGGUCAGCUCCUGAUCCUUGCCGACUUGAUGUUGCUGUACCAGGGCUUCCUCCCCAGAGGUGCAGCUUGCGUUUUGAGGGUGAUUGCUACAUAUGUUGUUGCUAAACAGCUCAGUAACACACUUGAAUGAAUUUGGAUACCAGAUUGUCCUCAUUACAGUUCUUUUACUCCUAGGGCACUCUACACUGGGGGUUGGGGUUGGGAGUGGUUAGUACAUUUAUUACAUUUAUUCAGAAACGUAAUGACAUAAAAGGUUAGCUCUGGGCCAGACUUCUCUUACUCUGUGGGUAAUGGUAAGGAUGUGUAAGUAAACUUGGUUCUUUUUUUUCCCUAAGAUGACGACUUGAUUUUAUCAUCUGCAGUCAAAUAACUGAGCCAAUCCAAAUUUAAAUGAUAGAUGCUUUAAUUGAGUUUAAGUAGCUGAAACUGCUGAGACACUAAACUUUAACCUUCUGAUGACUUUUUAAAAUGCCUCAAAUGUGCACAUGUAUAUAGGAUAUUUUUAUAACUUCCCUGAUGAAUAAUCUGAUAUUAAAGUAGUAUUUGGACCCAGAGCCAGAACUCGGUGGUGGAGGCUGCUGGUCUCUCCUCACCACCUUCUUUUGCACUUGGAAAGAACAGCAACAUCUGGAUAGAGUUCUAGCUUUGACUUCUCAUUUCCUUGUCUUUUUGGGUGCAUUCCUCAGCACACUUUUUUUUUUAAACCUUUUUGUUUUGUUUUGUUUGUAUUUCAUGUGGUUUUAUUUGGGGGUUUUGGUUUUUUCACCCUUUUUUGUGAUUUGCAAUGAUGUGCUUGCCCAGCUAACUUUUGAAUUGCACUUUUUAAUAAAUAUUCUUAACAAUUUUUGAAGAAGGAUAUUUUAUCUCAUUUGAGAUCAUGGUAGGUUAAGAAAAUAUGCCUGUUGAUGAAAGCUAAAAGCAAAUUUACGAAACUAAAAGGGUGAUUGACAUCCAUGUUUACACUCCGCUCUAAUGUUUGAUAUAUAAAUAAGUUAUUUUCAAAUUAGGAAAAAACAGUGAGUAUUACAAAGGGCUUCAGAUGUUUAGAGUACUAGGUUAUUUAUGUUUUACAAAGUUUGAAUCUUCUAUAAACUAAGAAAGGGGAUGAUCCUUAGAUUUGCAUUAAAAUAUAGAAGUCUUUUAAAGUAAAUGUGAACCUUGUCUAAGUACUGUAAUCCACACAACACAUUAUAAGAAGCAAACCAGCAUCUUAAGGAAUUAUAAAAUUACCCUAUUUAAAAGCCAUGCUAUUGUUCUGCUAUUACCAGAUUUAUUGUGCCACACAAAAGGAUCAUGUGUGUCAGCAGGGGCCGUUUGGAACAAACCUAGUCAUUAAUGAGUAAGAUACUCCUGUUAGUUCAGGGACCAAGUUUUAUGACCCAGAGGCUUAAUGAUGUUUGGAUAUAUUUCAAAUCGGCAUGCUUACCUCACUGAUUUAAAUUAUUUUCUAAAUAGUGGCCAUUGUAGACCUGACUCAGGCUGAAGCUAAAUAGAGAACAAUUUAGAAAGUUAACUAAAAACACAGUGCAUUCUACCCGUAGGGCCACCAUGCCCUUCUGCCCCUGGCUGACUUGAUCCUGUGUCUGAUCCCAUUGCACCCUGACUGGGCAGUCCCUACAGAACCAGUGUUAAUUUGAAGGGCCUCCACUCAGGCUCCAAAUGUGGCAGCCAAAGAGAACAAUCCAGGGAACCUACAUUUAUUUUUAAGGACAAAUAUUUCCUUCUCAGUGGUCCUCAUGUUCAGGGCUUUAGAGGGAACCCAGGUGGUCUCUUCACCCUGUGUCCUAGAAUGGGAGAGUAAGUAGACAGUGGUGAUAACCCCACACUGCUUUUAAGUGCAUCUUUAUAGUAUUUGGGGCUUUCUUACCCCUUUAGCCUUCUGUACCUAGUACCAUAUUCCAGUUUUAAAGAACUGGCAGAAUGUGAUGGAUAACAGAGGAAGAGCUCAAUUUAUGUUUAUUGGAAGAACAUUUUACUUAAAUGAUUUGAGGGGUGGGAGGGAGUGAACUACUGAGUUUGCCAGAGUGAAAAUCCAUCUGAAAAACUCAACUACCUUUAGUUUUUAGUCCUAAUUUUUGGUCUUGUCUCUGUGGACUGUGAAGAAUCACAAUGCUCUAUAUGCCCUGGACUGUGUGGCAAAUGCAGGUUGCAGCGUGUGUGUUACAUGAGGAUCUUCCACAAUUUCAGAAUGCACGCCAGAGCUGAAGGGGGAAACUUGGUAACUUGCCCAUUAUUCUCUGCUUUUAGCCAGAGUUAAACAGACUGAUGGGUCUGGUAGCCAACAACUUGGCAACUUCCACUCCUUCUCACCUCGUGAGAUUAAGGGCUGUGAAAAGAAAUCUAGUCUAACUCCAACAGAAAUCUGUCUCUGUUAAGUGUUUUACCUUCUGUAAGUAGAGAUGGUAGAGCCAAGAUUUUUCUUUUGGUAAUUUCCCUGUCUAUAAAGUGAGACCAAAGGGAUAUCUGUUCCCUGUUACCUUUUUGGAGAAUUCAUAACAUUUGAAGAUCAAAAAAUUGAAUGAUAAAUAUGAAUGGCUUUUCAAUUCUGUGGACUUUGUACCAUUUGGCUUCACCUUGUACUGCAAGAUGAAUUUGUAAACAAAACAAAAUUGGACUGUCUGGAAAGCUAAAGUUCUGAAAUAUGGAAUGUACUGCCUCUAAUUUUUCUUUGUCUUCCUCUCACUGGCAUUUUUUUCUCUCCCAGGUUUCUUAAGAAUAAUGUUUUUUAAAGGAGGCUUUUUGCCCAUCAAGAAUAAAAAGAAAUAAAACCAAA